GAUGAACGCUAGCGGCAGGCUUAACACAUGCAAGUCGAGGGGUAUAGUUCUUCGGAACUAGAGACCGGCGCACGGGUGCGUAACGCGUAUGCAAUCUACCUUUUGCAGAGGGAUAGCCCAGAGAAAUUUGGAUUAAUACCUCAUAGUAUGUGAGAAUGGCAUCAUUUUCACAUUAAAGUCACAACGGCAAAAGAUGAGCAUGCGUCCCAUUAGCUAGUUGGUAAGGUAACGGCUUACCAAGGCAACGAUGGGUAGGGGUCCUGAGAGGGAGAUCCCCCACACUGGUACUGAGACACGGACCAGACUCCUACGGGAGGCAGCAGUGAGGAAUAUUGGACAAUGGGCGCAAGCCUGAUCCAGCCAUGCCGCGUGCAGGAUGACGGUCCUAUGGAUUGUAAACUGCUUUUUGUACAGGAAGAAACACUGGUUCGUGAACCAGCUUGACGGUACUGUAAGAAUAAGGAUCGGCUAACUCCGUGCCAG
rnacentral:rRNA from 1 species